GGUCUUUUAGGUUAAGCUUAAACUUUCAAUUUGUGGUGUUGAAGAUCUAUCAGUAUAAGAUAGUUAGAUCA
rnacentral:tRNA from 1 species